AGGGGUGACCUGGCAUAGAACUGUGAAUAUAGGUCUUGAAGAUAAAUAUAUAGGUUUGGAUUCAAGCUUGGUUACUUACUGGCCACAAGACCUCGAACAAAUUGCUUGGUAUCUCUGUACCUCCAGCUUUCUCAUCUAUUAUAAGGACACUUUUAUCCCAUCUAGUUCAUAUGUAUAUAUAUGUAAAUAAAGUAAUGCAGCCAUAGCACAAUGGCACAGAAUAGGGCACUGUUAUUUCUACUGCAAGAUGAUAGAACAGUAGUAGGGGUAAGGAAAUAUAAGUGAAUAGAACAUAUAUUUGUGGAAUCUCAAAGCAAAAACAAACCUUAUCAAUAAGUAAGCUCUUCUAAGUUUUUCAUUUUGUAGACCCUCAGUCAGAUGCCCAGAGAAGUUAAAUGACUCACCGUGAGUGACCAAGCAAACUGAAAGAGCCGAGAGUUAUAUAAUCAGAGAUAUUUCUGGUUUCCUGGAAUUUUGACCACAGAUCAUACUAUCAGGCAGCUGAAUUGUAAGAAAACCAAGUAGUCUGAAAUCCAAGGACAGAUGAGACACUAGGCCUAGAUCAUCAGUGGAAGACAGUAGUAGACUGACACAUCAGUUAUACAAAUUCUGGUACCCAGUGUGGGGUGACUGAAAUGAGCUUGGGACAACUGAUAAAAAAUCAACAACAACAACAGCAGGAACAUUUUUUUUUCAACCAAGGUCAUCUCUCCUGGAUCUCUGCCUAUAGUGCCCAAUUAAAAAUAGAAGGUAAGAAUUUCUUUUUGUCCCUUCCUUCACAAAUUCAGAUUAGCAGGAAGAUAUCAUUUGUUUGGAUUGUGUCUUUUGUGUAAAUCUGAUUUGGAAGUACAUAUUUGUUAUUGAUCUUUUCCCUUCCAGAGACAGCCAUUUCUUUCCUAUUUGUCUUGUUCUAUGUUCUGAAGAUUUGGUUUUAUGAUCAGUAAGAAUAUUCUCUCUGGUCUCUGGCUGGGGGUGAAAGUAUCAGCUUACU